GUGGUGGCUCAGUGGUAGAGCUCUUGUCUGGCAUGUGUGAGUUACUGGGUUUGAUUCUCAGCACCACA
rnacentral:tRNA from 1 species